rnacentral:lncRNA from 1 species
AAUACACAGAGGCAAAUCUACACAAAUCCAGUUUUCUCAUACUAGGCAAAGUUACCAAAAACAUACAUUGUAGAAAAGAUAGCCUCUUCACCAAAUGGUGCUGGGAAAACUAGAAAUUCCUAUGUAGCAAAAUGAAAUUAAACCUCUAUCUCUCACCCUGCACAAAUUUAAAUUCAAAGUGGAUUAAGGACUUAGGCAUUAGAAUAGAGACCCUGCACCUAAUAGAAGAAAAAGUAGGCCCAAAUUUUCAUCAUGUUGGCCUAGGAUCUGAUUUCCUUAACAAGACUCCUAAAGCACAAGAAGUAGAAUAAAGAGUUAAUAAAUAGAAUGGAAUCAAACUAAAUAGCUUCUUUACUGCAAAGGAAACUAACAAUCAUGUGAAGAGAGAGCCUACAGAAUGGGAGAAAAUCUUUAUCACACUCAUCUCAGAUAGAACAUUAAUCACAAGGAUAUAUAAAGAACUCAAAAAUUUAAUACCAAAAAACCCAAAUAACCUAAUCCAUAAAUGGGAAAAGGAACAGAACAGGCACUUCACAGAAGAAACACAAUCCAUCAACAAACAUAUGAAAAAAUGUUCCAACAUCUCUAGCAAUUAGAGAAUGCAAAUCAAAACUACACUGAGAUUCCAGUCAGCAUGGCAAUUAUCAAGAAUACAAGCAACAAUAAAUGUUGGUGAAAUGUGGGGAAAAUGUACACUCAUACAUUGCUGGUGGGACUGCAAAUUGGUGACACCACUAUGAAAAGCAGUAUGGAGAUUCUUCAGAAAACUUGGAAUGGAACCACCAUUUGACUGAGUUAUCCCACUCCUAUAUUUAUACCCAAAGGACUUAAAAUCAGCAUA